rnacentral:rRNA from 1 species
CCUACGGGAGGCAGCAGUGAGGAAUAUUGGACAAUGGGCGCAAGCCUGAUCCAGCCAUGCCGCGUGCAGGAUGAAGCAUCUAUGGUGUGUAAACUGCUUUUGUACGAGAAGAAACAGCUCUUCGUGAAGAGCCUUGACGGUAUCGUAAGAAUAAGGAUCGGCUAACUCCGUGCCAGCAGCCGCGGUAAUACGGAGGAUCCAAGCGUUAUCCGGAAUCAUUGGGUUUAAAGGGUCCGUAGGCGGGCCAGUAAGUCAGUGGUGAAAUCUCCCGGCUCAACCGGGAAAUGGCCAUUGAUACUGCUGGUCUUGAAUUAUUAGGAAGUAACUAGAAUAUGUAGUGUAGCGGUGAAAUGCUUAGAGAUUACAUGGAAUACCAAUUGCGAAGGCAGGUUACUACUAAUGGAUUGACGCUGAUGGACGAAAGCGUGGGUAGCGAACAGGAUUAGAUACCCUGGUAGUCCACGCCGUAAACGAUGGAUACUAGCUGUUGGGCGCAAGUUCAGUGGCUAAGCGAAAGUGAUAAGUAUCCCACCUGGGGAGUACGUUCGCAAGAUGAAACUCAAAGGAAUUGACGG